CACCAUUAGUUAUACAAAGCACAUCCAUUUCUUGCCAUGUUGGCUGUAUCGAAGCCUCACCAAUGGUAUCAAUGACAUCAGUAAUCUUUUGCUUCAGGUCAUUGAUGUCCCAUAUCUUUGUUCGAUACAUGAUAUCUUUAACAGAACCCCACAGAAAGAAAUUUAGGGGAGUGAUAUUUAGUGAAUGUAGUGCCCAGGGAAUUUUAUCAUCCCUUUCAAUCCACCAAUCUGGAAAUGUUUUAUUUAGGAAGCCACCAACAUGCAGUCUCCAAUGUGGUGGUGCAACAUCUACCUGGGAAAUGAUGGCUGGUAAAGCUCAUUCAGUCCACAUUUGAAGUAACUGAUCUCUUGUUGAAGAAAAAUAGGCCAAUAACUUGAUUGCACAUGAUCCCUCGAUGUGAUUCAAAACUCUCAUAACCACUCAGUACAUAGAACAAAAAUCUGAUGAACAUAUCUCAUCAGUUGCUUUUGUAAUAAAUGUUUUAAAUUGUAAAGAGACUUAAUGGAAAUCGUGUAUAAUGUAUAAUAAAGUACUUCUUUAAAUGAAUAAUGAAUUUAAUAGUGAUUAAGCGCAAUAAUAGUACAUUAAUGAAAAUAGUUUCUGACAGUUUGGGCUUCUUUCCAGUCGGGCUGUUUGUAGAUGAAUCGGUUGCAUCUGAUAAUAUCGCUUUCUUCCUUCCCUCUCAUGAACUGAGGACAAUAGUGUGAUAAAUAUUUUAAGCUGCAAGGUAGUCGAGUUAUUAGAGAAGCUAUUUUCUAACCAACAGAUGGAUUCAGAGUCUGCUGCACCACCAGUCAAUAAUAUCACUUAAGCAAAGCACUGAGCUCUUAUUAGUACUAUGUCUUUGAUGCUGUUCUCACGUGUUCGCUCAUGUCGUAUUCGUCUGCAGAGUGUAACAGAUGUGUGCUCUAAUAGAAUGAGAAUUCUAAAUGAUAUAGCCCUAAUGUUCCCGACAUGUUUUCCGACAGUUGAGACUUUUCAUUAACCUCUGUGAUGUAUGAGGGAGGCAUUGAAUCUCUGUCACUUUGCCAGGUCUUCUUUCCUCUUUGGGGAAAAAUGAGACACGGGGACAGAAAUUUUUAAUGAAGCUGUGUGAUGCAGGGUUUGGGCGAGCUGCACAGCAGGCUUUAUGCAGCACGCCGUCUGAUAGAUGCUGCUGUCACGCUGUGUCAACUAAACACCACUGAGAGGAGUCUUGCAAAAACAUGACAUACAUUUGUAUUUUACUGUCAAAAUAGCCUUGUUAUGUAAAUUAUACUGCAAAUCAUUAACCCUUCUGUUGUUGGUUGACCUGUUUUUCAGUUUAGGUUUAUGAUUUCUGGUCAAAACUUCAUCACAUCAUCACUUGAGAGGGGACGUAAACCCUGUGCGAAGACAAAAAUCUCAUUAUUACUCUCACAUCUACUGCUUUCCCACGGACGGUAUCACCUUGACUUGUCUUGACACCACUUUUUUUGUGUUUCCAUUACAUUGUCAUGCAGAAACCACCAUUCACUAUCAUAUAUCACCCUCACUGGGGUUCCAGGUGAGACAAAGAGAUAGUAAAUGUGAUGUAAAAUCAUGCAGAUCGCAGAUUGGUUGAUUCACAAUCGUCGCUAUAUUCGUUCUUAAGAUGUUUCCACAAACUUUGGAGUAAAUUUUCAAAUUGAACACAGAUUUGAACAUUCUCACCUGAAAAAUCGCAAUGUGCUUUUAAGUUUCGUCCUCCAUUACUGCAUUAUUUGCCGCUGAAGAUGAUGUUGCAAUAAACUGUAAGUUGUGUUGCUGAGGGACAGACUACACCUGCAGUGGAAAUGCUAUGUGCUGGUGGCAAAACAGAGCCAAGUCAAGUAAAGUUAAGGGAAUCUGAGGUGAUACCGUCAGUGGAAAAGCAGCAAUAGCCACAUGAACACAAAUGCAUCUAUUAAAGUGACCUGCUCUUGCCAGAAAUAACACAAAGUUGCAGUGUUAGGCUCACCUGUAUGAGAGGUAGAGGCAUGCUGCUACUUUAUUAGUUCAUAUUUAUCAGUUGAGAUAAUUCAAAGUAAUACUGAACUGUAGAUCAGCUAAAAAGACUUUCAGGUCACUAAAAUCAAUGUUUAUCCGAGAUAUGAAGCAAGUGGAUUUUUGGCAAAUUAAAGCAUUAAGUUUUCCACAUCAGUCUUGUUUAGAAUGGAGUUCUAUUCACUGAAACUUUAAAAAGGCCUUUAAUUUGACAAAGUAACAAGAAGUACGACUUAUUUUAACAGCAUAACUUUCAAUAAUACUGGAUUGUGUUAGUACUGUGAGAUAGUUGCAGGAUUACCAGUUUAUCAGUGUUCACUCAGUUUUUUUGAUGCAGAUUUUUGAUGCAUCACCAACUAAAACCCAUUGGUGGGUUAUCGUUGCCACUCACACAAAAAUGGACACGAGUGAAAAUGAUAUCCUGUUUGGCUCCAGGUCACAGAAUAACAAUGUCCUACUGAAUAUAAUUUUGAUCUGUGCCUAGAGAUUAAGUCAUGUUGUGAGUGAAACUUGACCUGAUAAUUAUGGAUUGUUGAUGCAGAGAAAUAGAGUAAAUGUUGUCAAGUCGUUAUAAAUAGCAAAGAUUACGACAAAAGAUAAAGUCUGUUAUAUCGAGUACAAGCAAUAAAAUAUGUAAAUUGUGUCUUUUACAAAUUAACAACUAUUUGUACAUUGCAAGUUAAAUGUGGUCUAAAAUACAUAAAAUAUCUAGUGUACCUAUAUUAUAUCAGGAAUAUUUUUUGACAGAUCUCUUGUUGUUAAUGAAUGAAAAUAUGGGUCAGAGUUGACCUGCAAAUGCUUAAGCUGUAAACAAACACAACAGGAGGCUGUAACCAUAGAAACAACUCCAUACACACAUGCCCUAGCAUAAAAAUGUGAAAAAACAUGUACUAUAAAUUAUAGAAUGAGUCAGAUUGAAGGUCAUUUUAUUUUUCCUCCAGCUUUUACACUCAUCACAUGAUAUCACUAAGUGUUUUUAGAAAUAAUUUAUAUGUAGACAACUACAGGUGGAAGCGCUAUAAUAGCCAGACAAGAGAAAUAAUAACAAUAAUGUGGGAAAUAGACAGAAUGACUAACAUGGGGGUAAAAGGGGGACAAAAAUAGGUAAGAGGAACCAUGUGUGCAGGUAAGAGGAAGAGCUGUCAGGAGAAUCCAGGUCAGGUCAGUGUAGACUAAAGACAGACUUGCUGUCAGGGCUCCCUGGAGACUCCCCUCAACCCCUUUCUGUUCUGUCUGUGUUCAAUGGAAAGGGCUUUUUCAUGUUUUUAUAAAACAACACACUAUAUAAAACCAUUCUCGAGGUUAAUUAAGUAGAAAAUCUGAUAAUGCAUUCACAACAUUACUUAUUUGAUUGCUCGCCUCUUCACUUGUUUUCAAUUUAGCAUUUUUCUGUAAGCAUCUGUACAGAUAAUUCGCUCAUAAAAUGUGUUUUGUGGCUAAUUAGAUUAUUUUGCCUUCAGCAGAGCAGAACAGAGGAACAUUUGUGGAAUUAGACUGUCUGCAGAUAAGUGUUUUGAUCUGUAUGUGUGGUGCAGGGAUGAAAUCAUUUUCAGAUCAGUGGUUGGAGAUGGUUUUUAGUGACCAGAAGUGCAUUACAAUAAAAUUUGGUUGUCCUUUACAACUCAGACAUAACAUGUUAAUAAUCGGGUAAAAGUUUGACAAUGAAAAGUAAUAAGAAAGAAAUAUCACCUAAUUACUAAAAUGCUGAUUCCCCUGCUAACGUACAAGUAUGCUAGGUUAGUUCUCCUGCCUGUGUCCUUGACUAGGGUAUGGUUUAGCCCACUCUGCCCACUGCUCAUAGUCUGCUGGGAUGGGUCAAAUACAGAAACCAAACUUCUAUACAGGGAUAAUAAAAUAAACUUGAAAAAAGAUGAAUCAUAAUGAUAACCAGGUAUGGGUUUAUCUGGGAACUAUCAGACUGCAACUGAUAUAAUGGGGAAAUAAGGGUAGUAAUGAAGAAACCUUUGUUCAGACAGCAACUAUGCAGUGCUAUUUAGUAAUGUUGUAAUACUGUAGAAACCUCCCAUAAAUAAGUGGUUAUAUCAAUAGGAUAAACUGUGUAGGGGGUCAGAUGCUCAAAAUAGUAAUAACGUAUGUGAGGAAUCACAUGCUGAUUUAGGGCAGUACUGGAUCAAAUAGAUUAAGAAAAAGCUGAAAGACAGUGACAGAAGACUAAUAGCUGGUAUCUCAAAAAUGUUCAAGGUAAAAAAAA